rnacentral:lncRNA from 1 species
CAAGUUUCACAUUUAAUUUACCACUCUUGAAACAGGAAAAAAAUCAUAAAUAAUGUUCUAUUUACAAAACAAGACAAACAAAUAAAAUGUAAUGUACAUAAAACAAAUAGAUAUGAUAUCCAACAAUAUUUUCUGUGAUAUAUAAUCAUAUAACAUCAGCUGUGCUCCAGAUUGACAUAUUUUUAGAAUUUCACCCUCACAAUCUGACUAAAUACCACUGUCAUUUUAAAAUCAGGGAGUACAAAAUACACUUAUGAUAUAUUCUUUCCUGCAAUGAAAUAAGAGCUGUAAUUUUUUUUCUUGACAAAUCGUAAAACAUUUCUUCAAAUCAAAUAUGUUUUAUCAAUCUGAGCAUCUUUUUCAAUAGGUAAUUUUACUGUUUCUUUGAUUUAGAUUAGAAGUCAGAAGGGAGGGGUGAUUGUACAUUGUAUUUCAAAAAUAUGGAAGAUAUCCCAUUCAAUUUAAAUUAAUCUGGAGCUAUGCAUUAACACUAUAUGUUUAUAAUUGAAAAACUACCCUGCACUUAUAAAACCACCAAUAUUGUUAAAAUUUAGUUUGUUAAUUUUAUAAGAUUAUUUUUAUUUAAAAGUGCUACAAUUUUCAAAUAGAAGAAAUUAUCUAACCUAUAAUAACAAUAUAUACAUGAUUUAUAGAGGUGCUCAUUGUUAAAUAAUGUGUGACCAAAACAAAAAUCAACUACAAGGUGGAAAGAAAAUAUGCAAGUAUCAAAUAUCUAUUCCUUCAUCCAAACUUUUACAUUUCUUGCUUAUAUUAAAUCAUCAGACUUUUACUCCCUCGCAUCAUGAUGCAUGAUGAAUCUUUCAUUUGCAAAUUAUACAACAGUUAACAUUUAUAAUAAAAACCUUUCAUAAGUAAAAUAAUAAAUAAGAAGCUGGAUAUAUUUUAGCUGUUUUUCUUGGCACUCUUAGCUGACUAAAACGUGCUAAUGUCAUCACAGAUGUACUUCAAACAAUAAACUACAUGUACAAGGAUGAGGAGGGGGUGACACGCUUAUGGGAUGCGAGAUAUAGGGGGUAAGAAAAGUGGCGGUGUGAUAUAUAUGGGGUAAAAUAAAUGGGGAUGUUGGAUAUACUGGGGUACAAAGUGGAAUUUAGGAAAAAGAAGAAAACAAUUGGAGAGUGAGAAAAAAGUACAAAAAAGCAGGAUUUUAGAAAUGAGCAACCCUGUGUCAUCCCCUCAAGCAUGGCAAUGUUUUCUGCUGACAGUUUAUAAUGAUAUAUAACAUAAAACAUAAACACCAACAUGAUAGUACAGUGAUUCUAAAUAUCUAAGUAAUAAAAUGUUGCAAUUAAUAAAAACCCUAUUGUUGCUUCAACAAAAAGGUAUUUAUAUGAAGACAAUUAAGUCUUUUAAAAAUAGGACUUAUUUGUAUGAAAUACUUAAAAUCUAUUAUAUCACCUUUAUUGUUAAGUACAAAUUCAUCAUUCAUUUGAAUAAAGAGUUAAAAUUAAUUUAGAUAUAUUAUUAUUCAUGUAAUACCCAUUUUUAUGGGUUUCAAGGGUACAUGUUAACCACAAAUAAAUGUUCAACCAAGAACAAACUUUUUAUGCAGACUUUUGUGAUCCAUGAAAUAUAAUAUACCCAUGAAAAUACAAUUUUUACCAAGAAAAAUAGUACAAAUAUUAAUGAAUCUACAAGAGCACUUGUUUCAAAUGCUAAUUUUUUUAAAUAUACAUUUCACUAUAAAAAAAAAUCGUUAACCUUUUUAAGAGCUCUGCAGGCUAAAUUUUAAAAUGUUCACGUUUUUCAAAUAUGAAUUUAUUUCUAUACAAAAACUUUCACACAAAUGUCAAACAACAGGGUUUUUUUUAUAGAAAAAAAAACAAAAACAAUCACAGAAAACGGUUUUAAAUAAAAAGUAUUACUAGUCAGAUAUUAAGAGAAUUUACAUAUAACAUACAAAAUUUACAAUGAAUCUUUUACUGGCCUUGCUAAUUUAUUUCAUUCAGCCUUCUUUACCUAACAGAUUAAUUAUUGUAAAGUUACUUUUGCAUGUGAUACCCUUACCAUAAUAUAGAUUAAUAGAUUAGAAUCUCUUAUAGAAACAGAAGCCUACUUAAUCAUCAAUAUCGUAGUUUCUUGAAACAUAUUAUGAAUAGAAAAUUUGACAUGUAUAAAUGAAUAGAAAACUGAGAAAUAGUUGUCAUUGUACUGGGCUGACAUGUAUUUCUUGAAUGAUUGUAAUUUAAAUCUUUUUCUCCGGGAUAGAUUGAUUGAUUGUUGCUUGCUUAACUUUCGGACCGGUGGGCAACAAUAUCAAUUGAAACUGAGGGUCACAUAAAAUCAACACAUUAAGGAAAUUUCAUCCUCAUACUCUUAAAUAUAACCACUGAGUAUUAUCAGGUUAUAUGAAGUCAAUAAUUAUUUUUAGUGAUAAAAAGAUAAACAAUUUUAAAUUUUAAUUAAAACAAAAGAAAAUAUAUCACACACUGUAAAGGCUAGUAACCUUAUUUACACAUUUCAACAAGAAAAUCAGUUUAUAUAUUUUAAAUCGACAGUAAGAAUGCACAUCUUAUAAAUAAUCAUCAUACUAAUAUUACAAAAGAAAAAAAUCAUGAAUUUUAGACAGGCUUUAUAGUCUAUGCAAGAACUUGACAACAGCUCCACCUCACAAAGCUUAAAAAUAAAUGUGUAAUUAGGCCAAAAAAAACCAAAAAUUUUUUAAUUAUUUUACUCAACCUAUUUAGAGAAUUCAAAUGAAAAAGUGUUUCUUUUAACCCUUAAUUAUUCCUACACAAAUGCAUGAGUGAAAAUAAACUGAUCAGUGUGAUUGCUUUAUAAUUGAAAGGGAUAAAAAUCAAAAAAUACAUUUUACAAAAUUUAAAUGCUUAACAGCAAAAAUAAUCAGUUUCAGAAAAAAAAUAUGUAUGAAGUCAGCAAAUAUAAUUUAUCUUUGAUAUGUUUAUAUUAAAUAGAUAUGUAAUUAAUAUUUAUGGAAUGCAUAAUUAUUAUUUUUAACAUGUUUCAUAACACAACUCGUCUCCUUAUUAUUGAGCAAUUGAAAGAACCUGCUUUCAAAGAAAAUCAUUCAUCCUUAUUUUAAUUAAAAUAGACACAUCUCUUAUAUAUACAGCACUGCUAUAUUCUAUCAAACAUAUAUAUUUGGUAACAGUUUUACUACAUUUUAAAUCAUCUAUACUUAAUUAGAAUUGUUAUUAUCCAUAAUUUCUUAAAUAUAUUACUAUGACUGGCCAACAACAUUCACGUUGCCUAAGAAAAUAGGGAUAAACAGAACUUUGGUCUUUCAUCUCAAGAUAGAUGUUACUAAGCUACAUCUCAUCUCAGAGAUAUUGCCUUUCAAUGAGACUGUAGCUUAUACUUUGCCUUUUUAUUUUCAAUACAAUAGAUAAUAUUUAAUACCUUUCAUAUAUUUACAAUACUAUUUACAUGAUAACACAAUAGUUUUAUCUUGGAUAAUUAAUACUUACUGUCUCUAAACAAAAUUUAAAUCCAGAAUUUUCUGAAGGAAAAUUUUUUGAUAGACUAGCAGUCUAACAUUUUCUCCUGAUCUCAACACACCAAUAAAGAAUGCUCAUUACCUGCUACCAAAAUAAUUUAAAAAAAAAAGCAUCUUAUUUAAAGAAAUAUAUCUUUCCCAUCUCAAGUUUUUACAUCAAUUUUUGUAGUGGGCCAUCAAUUUAAUACAAUGAUCUUACAUCAUUUCACUAAUCAAUGUCAUUAUGAUUUCAGUGUAUCAAACUGGAGACACAAACAUAUCAAAAUUACCAUCAUACUAAACAGGACUAUAAAAAGACUGAUAUGUAUAACUUCUAUAUAUAUUUCCACAGAUUUUAAAUGUCUGUAUUAUUUAUUAUUCAAGGAAAAGAGAAUGAAAUAUUUAGACUUAUCUCAUUUAAUAAAGCUUCACUAGAAUUUACUAAAAUGUGUGAAAAUUUAUCAAAAGCAUAUUUUCAAGCAAAAUUAUAAACAAAAGCAGCAAAUAAUAACAUAGCCGUUGUGAAUGAUGUGAGUUUAAACAGGAAAACAUAACGACAAAAAUCAUAGAAACCUCUCAUGGACCUUGCCUUAUGGAAUUUUGUUUAUUGUCUCUUUCAUGUCAUUUAACCAUUAAGACAUUUGCUGUUUUUUUUAUAUAUCUCAAUCAAAAUUUCUGCUCCUAUAUUUUAGAAAAAAUAUGCAACUUCGCUAUUGUAACAAUAAUGUCCGCUGCUAAAGGGGCCUUCUCUUUAAGCAAUGCCUACAGGUUACUAAAAUUAUUUAUUUUAUUUCAUUUGCUCACCAUAGAUAACAAAUCAUUUUUUUGUUAGAAAAAAUAUAUACACUAAUUCAUUCCAUCAUAAAAAUAAUCUCAUACAAGAAGUUAAUUUAUAACACAGUUUAACAAAAUACUUUUUUCUUUUUUCCAUCCCUGCAUUGGUUUAGUAAACAAACAACAAUACUAAAACACCUUUCCUAUUUACAAAGUAAUUUUAAGGAAUGUCAUAUACGAAUUACAUAACCAAGAUAAAUCAUACUGACUUAAAGUUAAGUAGAAAUAGUGAUGGCAACACACAGAAUAUAAAAGUUUUCUUAAUUUCCAGAAUACCUCUUUUAGCUUUCAAAUUUCUGAAAAAGUAACUUUGAAUAAUAUUUUAUGUAUUUUUUAACAUGAAAACUAUAGUUUUACUAGAUUGAUAAGAAAAGAAAGAAAACCAAUAUAUGCAUGAUCAGAGAAAUUAUAUGGUGAUAGGAUUUUCCUUUAAGAACCAUUUGCUUUUUCCCUACUUAAAAAAGAGUCAAGUUCUACAGGUAACCAAAAUGUCAUAUAAAAAAGAAAAUUUAAUUGAAGAAAAGAAAUUCUAAAUAUACUAAAUCUACUUCAAAUAUUUCAAUUCUAUUUCAUAUGUCUUGAAUAAAAGAAGAUUGAUGCUUAUUACAAAAGAUAAGUCACAAAAACUUGUUCUUUUCUUCUCUGUACAUAUUUAGAAAACAGUUACAUAAUAAAAGACUGUGCGAUUUCCGUUACAAAUAAAACAAUCCUAUACCAUACUGAUUGUGCUUAUCUUGAUUAAGUACUUCUAGACUAGACUACAUAUCACAGACGUAAGAACAACAACAAUGUUAAGAUGAGUUCAUGUUCCGAUAAAAUAUUAUCCCAAAUGUCAGCAAAACAAUCUGAAA